rnacentral:rRNA from 1 species
CAGUCGCCGCGGUAAUACAGAGGGUGCGAGCGUUAAUCGGAUUUACUGGGCGUAAAGCGUGCGUAGGCGGCUUCUUAAGUCGGAUGUGAAAUCCCUGAGCUUAACUUAGGAAUUGCAUUCGAUACUGGGAAGCUAGAGUAUGAGAGAGGAUGGUAGAAUUCCAGGUGUAGCGGUGAAAUGCGUAGAGAUCUGGAGGAAUACCGAUGGCGAAGGCAGCCAUCUGGCCUAAUACUGACGCUGAGGUACGAAAGCAUGGGGAGCAAACAGGAUUAGAUACCCGGGUAGUCCCUGUCUCUUAUAC